GGGGAUGUAGCUCAGUUUGGUUAGAGCGCCUGCCUGUCACGCAGGAGGUCGCGAGUUCGAGUCUCGUCGUCCCCGCAA
rnacentral:tRNA from 1 species